AUAAAGUAGACAUGUUACUGAGUCCAAACUUGCUCUGCUUGCUGUAUGACAGGCCAGUGAAUCGGGAGAUGAGGUGUUGGGGCAAGGAAUAAUGGCUUUAUUUGAAAAGCUGCAGACC